rnacentral:rRNA from 1 species
CGAUAGCGGAUAGUACCGUGAGGGAAUGGUGAAAAGUACCGCGGGAGCGGAGUGAAAUAGUACCUGAAACCGUGUGCCUACAAGCCGUGGGAGCGUCGGGAUGGAGCUUGCUCCAUCCUCGUGACUGCGUGCCUUUUGAAGAAUGAGCCUGCGAGUUUGCGGUGUGUUGCGAGGUUAACCCGGGUGGGGAAGCCGUAGCGAAAGCGAGUCCGAAUAGGGCGUUUUUAGUAGCACGCUCAAGACCCGAAGCGGAGUGAUCUAGCCAUGGGCAGGUUGAAGCGG